rnacentral:rRNA from 1 species
AACGAACGCUGGCGGCAUGCCUAACACAUGCAAGUCGAACGAGACCUUCGGGUCUAGUGGCGCACGGGUGCGUAACGCGUGGGAACCUGCCCUUAGGUUCGGAAUAACUCCCCGAAAGGGGUGCUAAUACCGGAUAAUGUCUUCGGACCAAAGAUUUAUCGCCUUUGGAUGGGCCCGCGUUGGAUUAGCUAGUUGGUAGGGUAAAAGCCUACCAAGGCGACGAUCCAUAGCUGGUCGGAGAGGAUGAUCAGCCACACUGGGACUGAGACACGGCCCAGACUCCUACGGGAGGCUGCAGAGGGGAAUAUAGGACAAGGGGCGAAAGCCUGAUCCAGCAAUGCCGCGUGAGUGAUGAAGGCCUUAGGGUUGUAAAGCUCUUUUACCCGGGAUGAUAAUGACAGUACCGGGAGAAUAAGCUCCGGCUAACUCCGUG